GGGAACUCCAGGGAGACUGCCGGUGAUAAACCGGAGGAAGGUGGGGACGACGUCAAGUCAUCAUGGCCCUUACGAGUAGGGCUACACACGUGCUACAAUGGCGCAUACAGAGGGCCGCAAACCAGCGAUUGUUAGCGAAUCCCAAAAAU
rnacentral:rRNA from 1 species